GACGAACGCUGGCGGCGUGCUUAACACAUGCAAGUCGAACGGAAAGGCUCCAGCUUGCUGGAGUACUCGAGUGGCGAACGGGUGAGUAACACGUGGGUAAUCUGCCCUGCACUCUGGGAUAAGCCUGGGAAACUGGGUCUAAUACUGGACAUGACCUUUCUCCUUAUGGGGUUUGGUGGAAAGUUUUUCGGUGUAGGAUGAGCCCGCGGCCUAUCAGCUUGUUGAUGGGGUGAGUGCCUACCAAGGCGACGACGGGUAGCCGGCCUGAGAGGGUGAUCGGCCACAUUGGGACUGAGAUACGGCCCAGACUCCUACGGGAGGCAGCAGUGGGGAAUAUUGCACAAUGGGCGGAAGCCUGAUGCAGCGACGCCGCGUGAGGGAUGACGGCCUUCGGGUUGUAAACCUCUUUCAGCAGGGACGAAGCGUAAGUGACGGUACCUGCAGAAGAAGCACCGGCUAACUACGUGCCAGCCGCCGCGGUAA
rnacentral:rRNA from 1 species